GAUGAACGCUGGCGGCGUGCCUAAUACAUGCAAGUCGAGCGAACGGACGAGAAGCUUGCUUCUCUGAUGUUAGCGGCGGACGGGUGAGUAACACGUGGAUAACCUGCCUAUAAGACUGGGAUAACUUCGGGAAACCGUAGCUAAUACCGGAUAAUAUUUUGAACCGCAUGGUUCAAAAGUGAAAGACGGCCUUGCUGUCACUUAUAGAUGGAUCCGCGCUGCAUUAGCUAGUUGGUAAGGUAACGGCUUACCAAGGCAACGAUGCAUGGCCGACCUGAGAGGGUGAUCGGCCACACUGGAACUGAGACACGGUCCAGACUCCUACGGGAGGCAGCAGUAGGGAAUCUUCCGCAAUGGGCGAAAGCCUGACGGAGCAACGCCGCGUGAGUGAUGAAGGUCUUCGGAUCGUAAAACUCUGUUAUUAGGGAAGAACAUAUGUGUAAGUAACUGUGCACAUCUUGACGGUACCUAAUCAGAAAGCCACGGCUAACUACGUG
rnacentral:rRNA from 1 species